AGCAACUCUGUGCCCAGCUUAGAGGACUGAAAGAGGCCACAACCUUCCGCCUGCUGGAGGGUGGAGGAUGGAUGGAGCCUGGAGCCUGGGUCACUACCUUGUUGCGGUUUGUGGUGGCGAUAGAGCAGUAGGAUGGUGGCCGGCAGCAGGAGCUUCUGCUGAUGGGCUGGGGGACUAGAAGGAAGAGGCACUGCCACGUGCUGGAGGCUGGAACCUGUGCCACCAUGGCUCGCCUCGCUGUGGUUGGUGGUGACGUCGGAGACUGCAGCUCAGCCACAGUAGUAGAAAUGUGAUGGGAUGGUUUCCUAGAAACAUGAUUGUUUAUUGGCGUUG
rnacentral:lncRNA from 10 species